rnacentral:rRNA from 1 species
GACAGAGGGUGCAAACGUUGUUCGGAAUUACUGGGCAUAAAGAGCACGUAGGUGGUGCGCUAAGUCACGUGUGAAAUCCCCCGGCUCAACCGGGGAAUGGCGCGUGAUACUGGCGGACUUGAGGCGGGUAGGGGUGAGCGGAACUCCAGGUGGAGCGGUGAAAUGCGUAGAUAUCUGGAGGAACACCGGUGGCGAAAGCGGCUCACUGGACCUGAUCUGACACUGAGGUGCGAAAGCUAGGGUAGCAAACGGG